UGACAAUCAUGGAGAAAUAUUUUAUAGUGUACUAAAAAAAGUUUACUUUUAAAUUCUGCUAUAACAAUCUAUUUUUGCCAUAUUGGAUUAACUCCUAACAAGUAACAAUGAAAAUAUUUCAGCUUUUUUGUUUUUUUUCAUGGAUAACCCUACUUAUUUCAGGACUUGCUGUUACAUUUGAUAUUAAUUUGUUGGUGUGUUUGCAUAAUUUUAAUGCUUAUUGCCAUCCCGGUGUUUGCCCUCAGUAUUCUGUCCAGCUGGGAACUUGUGGCCUAAAAAAGACAUGCUGUAAAAGCAAAAUCCUUAAUAUGUUUUCAUGUCAACUAAUUGGAGGUACCUGUUCAUUUACAAGCUGUACUGCAUCUUCAAUUGUGCGUGGAUUUUGCAACAAAGCCUUUCCCUGCUGUAUAAGUCCAUCAGAAAUCUAGCAUUUAUGCACAGCUUGGUCUGUAUCCUCUUCAUGAAAUAUAAACAAAACAUCAUUUGGGUUCCAAAGGAAUUUUACCAGCAAAGAAUCUUUUCUUGAAUCACAAAAGUAAGAGCUGAUUUUUAAAAUAAACUUAUGUUGUU